GGGCCUAUAGCUCAGCUGGGAGAGUGCCUGCAUGGCAUGCAGGAGGUCGUCGGUUCGAUCCCGACUAGGUCCACCA
rnacentral:tRNA from 1 species